rnacentral:rRNA from 1 species
CACCAGCAGUUCUAGUGGUAAUCACGUUUAUUGGGUUUAAAGCGUCCGUAGUCGGUUCAGCAAGUUUUCUGUGAAAUCCUGCGGCUUAACCGUAGGGCUUGCAGAAAAUACUACUGCGACUAGAGGCCGGGAGAGGAAGGGGGUAUUCUAGGGGUAGCGGUGAAAUGCUAUAAUCCCUGGAAGACCACCAGUAGCGAAGGCGCCCUUCUGGAACGGGCCUGACGAUGAGGAACGAGAGCUAGGGG